AGCCUCAGCAGUUCCAUCCAGGCUUAACCAAAAUAAUAAAGUAUCCUGGUCUGUGGAUCUUCAGGGCCUGGGAACAGCUGUGGCUACAAAUAUUGAAUUUUCCAAGAUGUCUGGUGGAACUUUUCAAAUUAUACUUAUAAUAUAUGCCCAGGUCUGGCAAAUGAACCCAUUCAGGGCAAAAGACUGUGUCUUUUUUAUAUUUAUAUAUCUAGCCAUAACCAGAACUGGCUAUAACGAGUGCUUUGUAUUUACUGAAUGAAUCACACUUGGGAGAGACCCUAAUUGAAAUAGAGAUUAGAAGUUAGAAAUACCUUUUUGCACAUUUUCAUCCAUAGAAUCUAGUGACCAUGAUUUUUAAAAAAAAUGACCAUUAGCAGUUUCUUGAUUGGCAAUAUCUAAAAAAUUGUGAAACUGAUUUGGAAAAGCUAAAACUAGAAGACAGUAUCAUAUCACCCGCUCUCUGUAUAAUUCCAUUGCCCUCUAUCAAAUCCUUCUUUUCCCCAAAUCCUUCAACCUUAGCAAAAUAAGAGGAAAUGGCCUCUAAAACAUUUCCUCCAGUAAAUUGAUGUCUUAGCACUACACGUCAGAAACUUCAGGGAAUAAACAACGCAUGUGGGAAGAAGGAAAAGGCAGUCUUAUAGCAAGUCGGUUGCCACUUAUAAGGCACAGUUAUGUCUUAGACUUAGAGACACUAGGGUGUGGUUACUGAGAACUGGGACUGGAGAGUCAGACCAACCUGGGCGUGCAUCCUGCCUGUUCUGCCACUUCCAACUGUGUGUCCACUGGGAUAAUUACUGUAACUACAUCCAAGGGUUCCUGCAUGGAUGAAAUCUAAUACAGCAUGUUAAUUAUGUAGCAUAUUUACUGGUACAUAGUUCAGCUCAACAUAGGUAGCUAUUAUUUUGUUGUAAUUACUAUUAUUACUGUGCUCUGAAUUUAACAGUGAUUCCAACAGAUGUAUUCUUCAAGCCAGCCUCAGAAGACCAAUAUGAAGACCCUAUGUACAAGCAUUUAUAAGUAUUAACAUUUCUAAAGCAUCUUUUUACAUAGUAUUUUAUGUUUUAGAAUGUGCCUGCCAGAGUAUACAAAAUAUACUCAGAAGAGGAAUUCCACUGAAUCAGGAACUUCUUGAAAAGAAGGGAGUAAACAAAAACCAGGAAAAUUAGCAAAGGUAGCGAUAAUCAUCCCGGCAGAACUGGCAGUUUCCAAGUAUUUAAUUCACUGCAAGCAAGCAUCUUCUUUACUGGAAAAAUGUACUACAGCCGAGGCAGAAAAUGGAAAGGAGAAGCUGUUAGCUUCAUUUCACCUAAAACAAGAUACUGCCGCUCCGUUACACUUUCAAAGAUACUAGAAGGUUUAAACUUCAGUGUUCCAGAGAUCCAUCUGGGCUCCAGGGCAUUUCUCCUGAAGAUGCAUAUUACACUGGUAAUAGAAUUCAGGAGUUAAGGCCCCUAGACCACUGUAGCGCAUUUCAUCAGCCAGGUGAUGGACCUGCAGUGCUGCAGAACUGUGGUAAUUCAAAGGUAACCAGGGGCAAGAGAAAUAUAGAACUCACAUCUGCCAAAAUAGAUCUGAGUGUGGAGCUGGCCAGAGAAAUGUGGCAAGAAAAACGGCAGGAUGCAAUUAUGAAGAAGUAAUGGGUUGCAAUUAACGACGCCUGCCUCAUUUCCUAAAUGAGGAGGGGGGAAGUUUUCUUGGGUUUUCCUCCACGGAGAGCUGUGCGAGGAUGAAGUUGGGCAAUGGUUGUUCAAUCCCUUUUGACUCUUAUGAAGUCAGUGAACUGCUUUGCCAUUUAUAUUUCAAAAGAAAAAUUGUGUCCUAUUUAUAUUCUCUCUAAGAAGAAAAAUACAGCUUUGUUUUACUACCUAAGCUAAUCAUAGAUCUUUCUGUGUGAAAUCAUGAUAAUUCUGGUUUUUUACUGACUGUGACAGAUUUUGUCCCAGAGAGGUGAACAGAGCACUGGCCUAGAAGCUAGGAGGCCAUUGAUCAUCUUUGUCCUUGUGAUGAUGAGCUGGGCAUCAGGCAUCAGCCGUGAAACGGAGGGUCUUUCAGCCUGGAAAAGUCUCACUCGAGAAGAGGGGCUCAAUGGGUCCUCACAUCAAACUCCUCUCAGGAAAUGAAUCAUCAUCCCUGUGACAAAAUUCAAAAUGUCGCCCUAGUUUCUGCCUUUCACAUUUGCCCACACAGACUUCUCUGACUUGGUUCUGUUCUCCUGCUAAUAACACCUGACCGCAUUCCUCUGGCUUCACACCCAUUCAGUGGUUUGAAUUUAGCAUUCUUUCACAUGUGUGAUUUGGGGCAACUCAUAUAGUCUCUGGGAGAUCCAAUUUAAUCGUCUGAGAAAUGCAGACAAUUACAGUAUCAUAUAAAGCUGGUGAGAGAGUUAAAUGAGCUAAAGUAAAUGAAGUAAUACAAACCAUAAAAGAAAAACUUGAUAAAUUGUAUUUCACCAAAAUUAAAAAUUUUACUCUUUGAAAAGUGGUAUUAAGAAAAUGAAAAGGCAAGAUAUAUAAUGGUAAAAUAUUUGAAAUACGUUUAGCUGACAACGGAAUUGUAUCCAAAAUAUAUAAAGUGCUCACGCAACUCAAUAAGAAGAUAAGCUACUAAUUUACAAAAGAUUUGAACAGAUAGAAGAUAAAGGAAUGGCAAAUGAUUAUCUGAAAGAUGCUCAACAUCAUUAAUCAUCAAGAAACUGCAUAUUAAAACCACAAUGAGAUACCACUUUACACCCAUUAGAAUGUCUAUCAUCAAACAGACAGAAAACACGAAGUGUUGGUGAAGAUGUGGAGCAACUGAAACUCUCACACACUGCUUAUGGGAAUACAGAAUUAUACAACCUCUUUGGGAAAACUUUGGCAAUUUCUUAAGAAGUUCAAUAUAAACCAACUAUAGGUCUUAGCCAUUCCACCAAAGGGAUUUACCCCUAAAGAAAUGAACACACACAAGGACAUAAAUGUGAAUGUUCAUUCCAGCUUCAUUUGGAAUAGCUAAAUACUGGAAACAAUCCAAAUGUCCAUCAAUAGAUAAAUAAUGGAUACACAAAACACAAUAUAUCCAUACAAUGGAAUACUACUAAUCUAUAAAAAGGAAUGAUCUGCUUAUACACACAAUAAAAUGAAUGAACUCAAAAUCGUUAUCCUGAGGGAAAGAAAUUAGAUACAAAAGAACACAUAAGGUAGUAUUUCAUUCACAUAAAAUUCUAAAAAAAUGCAUACUAAUCUGCAGUGACAAAAAACAGAUAGCUGGUUGCUUGAGAAAAAGGUAGAGGAAGGAAUGGACUACAAAUGUUCAUGAGGAUCCUUCUGGGGAUGGUGGAAAUAUACUGUCUUGAUGGAUGUGGUAGUUUCACAGAUGUGUACAUCUGUUGUAAUUCAUCAAAGUAUACACUACUAAUGGAUGUGGGUCAUCAUAAGUGAAUUACAGCUCAGCAAAGUUGAUUUAAAAAUAAUAAAAUAAGUGAAGUGCUGAGAUCUCAGCUUGGCUCAGAGUUCUAAAUAUCAGCUGAAUAUUAUUCUUAUUCUCUUUACCACAGUAAUUACUAUCACCCCACCAUUGACAUCUGAUGCUGCCCCAUCUGUGUCUGAUAGCAUGUCUCAGUUCCUUCUUGUGUACAAUGGCUAGGAUAGUAGUAUUAGGCCAAGAGCAGCCCUUCCCGAAUGACUUAAUAAAUCCCUCUCCCUCUUUAGAAGCUGGGUGAGAGGACCAAAUGAUGACAAGUUACAUGAGAAAUUAUACUAUAAAUAUUGGAUUUUAUAGUUUUAUUAUUCUUUGCUUACUCAUCUGAUGCCCCCUCGGCAAGCUAGCACUGUUCACAAUGAAGGGAAAAUAAACGGACCCGGAAACCAUGAAUCCCAAUUUCCUCUGCCCUUGUUAUGGUUCCACCUACCACUAGUGUCUUAGAAUUGGCAGAUUUGAUGGGUAGGAACAGGGUUUGACAUUAAGUGGCUCUGGAUUCAAACUUCAAGUCCACCACUCACAAUCUGUGUGGCCUUCAACUACUCAACAGCUGUUAGACUCAGUUUGUCAUAUAUAAAAUGGGCAUAAUAGUUAAUACCUGAUAUAGUGGUUGUGAGAUUUUAAAAAAAAGGAUAUUGUGGAAUAUAUUGCACGCGUCUUGGGUCUAGUAAACCCACAGCUGACGGUAGCUCCUCUUAUACUCUGCCCUGUGGGCAGGUAGCAUGUGUGUUUGUUUAGUCGUUGAGGGGCCAACCUGGAGACAUGGAUCCAUUUACACCCAGCAGCAGCAGCGUAUAUUGACGUCUUCUCUUUACAUCCGAUUUCCCGACUCUCUGCUUGAGAAGCUGUGUGCUAAAGGUCAAGGUAGAAAAUGGUCUCACUCUACGUUCUCCCCUCACAUUGCAGGUAAUUCUCUCUGUCCAUGUGCUGUUAAUGGUGUGAUUAUCAGUGCUGGUGGCCAAUCACGUGACCUAAUCAUAGCACUAAUUCACCCUCAAUUCAUCUCUCUCAACAGCUCCAGAUGGCAUCUGAACACUCAUUGGUAAUAAACAGGGAGAUAUUUAAAAUUUUUUUAAAGUCUUCUUUAAUCUACUUGGAUAAUUACCUCAAAAAUAAUAAUAAUUCUGAAUUCUCUCCAUAACCCAUAUGGAAAACCCUAAAAUCAUGAAGAAGAGAGCUGCUAAUUAGCUAUUUUCAUUUUACCUAAAAAGAACAGGACCAAAGACAUUCAGUCAGGAAGCUGAAAUCACAUCUUCAAAAGCAAGGUUGAUUAAGGAAGAAGGGAAGCAAGCAUUUAGGGGCUUGCCGAAAAGAAGCAGGGACUGAGGCAAAUGUUAAUGUGCAAAACGGGCUGAGGCAAAUGAUUCAAAAUCACCCUAAAUUUAGGGAAAUAAAGGGGGAAGCUAUUUGCUUCCUGUAAGUGAAGAUCUCAAAGCAUCAGUUGUGUCAUUACAUAGGAUACAGAUAGGAAUUCUAUAAAGUCAAAGGAUAUAAUGAGAGUGUUAUAUUGUUUUUAAUAAAAAGAAUUUGACUUGCCCUUCAUAUUGCUUAAUCUGCAGAAAUGUCAACAUUUCAUUAGAAGUGUUCAGUCUCUUUAAAUUAGUGAUGGUGGCAAAAAUGUUCCUGUUGCUCCAUGAGAGGUAAAAGGAACUAUUAUGGAUCCCUCUACAGACAGAGCCCGGGUCUUGAUGGAUGUCCUGCAGAGUUUUAGAUACACCCACCAGGAAAUGCUUUUGUGUUACAUGUGGAUGCAUUUAAUGGAGCAAAGGAAAAUGGAUUCCUUUCAGGCACAGAAAAAGCGCUAAGAAAAUGAAAUUGGGCUAAAAAGUUAGGAUUUAUCAGACUCUUGUCUUUUCCAAAUCAGAAUUACAUCAUCCUUAUGAAAAUGUUAGCAAUGUAGCUGAAGAAAGGAGGAUAAAGUAAGUCUUUCAGUAUUUAAUAACUUCACUCUAGUUAGAGAAAAUUCUCCUGUGAAAACUGUAGAAUUCCUCACUCACAUGAGUUUCAAAGUUUAUUUAUCACGGCAUUUGCAAUCCUGGGACCUCAAAAAUACAACGACUGAAUUAUGAGGCCUUAUCAUGUCUGUAAAGUGAGAUGAUGGUUUUACUGUAUUUUAGGUAUCAUAAAUCCUAAAAUUAAUAAGAAAAGUAGUUGUGUAGGGAAAACUGUUAUUUUUGCCUCUUUGUUGUCCAUCCCCUUUAUUUGAGGAGCAAAACCUGGAUUUUCCAUUAAACCACUGCUAUCUUCAUAUGCCCUGUGCCUGGUCAGUCAGAACAUUGCAUCCUUGGACCACGAAAUAGCCACCACAUGGUAAGAAGCUGCUAAAACUGAAGCUAACAUAGGGUAAGGCAGACCCAAGUGAUGGAGAGAGAAGCUCCAACGAUGUAAUUUGAGUCCCUCCACCUAACCAGGCCUGAAGCUGGGGCACCCUGGACUCUUGUUGCAGAACCAAUAAAUCUUCUUUUGCUCAAACCAGGUUGAGUUGAUUUCUAUCACUUGAAACCAGAAAGAG
ensembl:lncRNA